UACGAAGGGUGCAAGCGUUAAUCGGAAUUACUGGGCGUAAAGGGUGCGUAGGCGGUUGUUUAAGUCUGUCGUGAAAUCCCCGGGCUCAACCUGGGAAUGGCGAUGGAUACUGGGCAGCUAGAGUGUGUCAGAGGAUGGUGGAAUUCCCGGUGUAGCGGUGAAAUGCGUAGAGAUCGGGAGGAACAUCAGUGGCGAAGGCGGCAUCCUGGACCGACACUGACGCUGAGGAGCGAAAGCCAGGGGAGCAAACGGG
rnacentral:rRNA from 1 species